rnacentral:ncRNA from 1 species
UUUAUUUUCGCAAUUAUUAUAAUAUUUAUAGGGUUUACAUGUUCAUUUUAGUAAAUCGGGACAUAGCAGUAAUUUAUAUUAUUAUAUUACAGUAAUGUAGAGAUAACCUUUAAAAAUCGCCGGCUCACCCUGUGCCAGCAGCCGCGGUUACACAGGGGGUGAAUGUAAUUUUAUGGUUUGUAGUAUGUUGUAUUUUUCUCAUAUUUAUGCAAAUAUAAGGGUGAAAUUUGUUGAUUUCUGGAGUUAUGAGUAUGUAAUUAUUUACAAAGGCUUGAAUUAAGAUUAGGAUUAGAUACCCUAGUAUGCAAGUUUUAAAUUGGUAAACCAGAUUAUUAUUAGAGGUUCUUUAAAUUUAAGAGAUUUGGCGGUAUACCAUUGCGUUAGAGGAACCUGUCCAUUGAUCGAUAAUCCACGAUAGGAAAUUGCUUUAUUUUUGUAUGUAUACCGUUGUUUUGGAAUUAUUUUGAUAGGAUGAUAAGUUAUUUUGGUUUAUAUUGUAGAGGAUUUCAGAUCAAGGUGCAGCUUUUAAUGAAGUUUGAGAUGGGUUACAAUUCUAAUUGAAUUAUGGAUUAUGAUUUUAAUUAUUGUUAUGAAGGUGGAUUUAAAAGUAAUUGGGUUUAAUUAGAUCUAUUGAAAGUACUCUGGGAUAUGCAUACAUCGCCCGUCGCUCCCAUUUUAAGUGGGAUAAGUCGUAACAUAGUAGGUGUAUUGGAAAAUGCACCUGGAAUU